rnacentral:piRNA from 1 species
UAACGUCUCGCAAUUAUAAAUAUGGGUUG